CUUCUGCAAACUUUUACAACUUGCAUAUACAUAGAGCUUUCUUCCCCUCUAUAAAUUGAAGAAUGAUCAUCCAUUUACCUCCAUCCCAUCUUGCAUGAUUAGUUCCUUUCUAAACUAUUCCAUCCUUAUUUUGUUUUAGUGAAGAAAACCCGGUUCCGGUAACCGUAACCAAAACCGAACACCAUACCGACACCACUUUUCAUUCACCAUUAUGCCUGCUAAACCACUCAACUAUCUCUACUAAACCACUCGAAGCUUUAACCACAGAAAACAUACUACCCGAAACCAUUUCCGGUGAAGAAAUACUAAUUCCGGCGAUACUUACGUAUUUUCCGACGACGUCUUUCGUAACCGAAACAUGUUUUUGACCAAGGUUUAUACGAACACGCUUGACAAGUUUAUAUAUAUUUAAGAUAACAAUCAAGAAACAAGGUUCACAGGUUAUUUUGGGCGGGGUGAAGAGUGAGGAAUAAACCCUAGGAUGCUAACCAAAGAUGUUUAUCACUUUUAUAAAAUAAAUAUGUACUUUGGGCCUUAGGGCUAUGAACCGUAUUUUGAAAUGUAAGCCUAACUUUAAUUAAUGGAAUUAUGACUUAUGUUC